GUAAACAAAGCAGCAACGUGUUCAUCUCUGAUACUUUUCAGUUUUGGAAAAACACGCUGUGAGGAAUAAGCCUUGUAUUUACCUCAGAAACGCGUUGAGAGGAAAAAGAGUUAUAUUUACCGCCAGAAGACGAAAAAGCUUUGUUUAUCUCACAAACCGAGCGCGAGCGCAGCUGGAGCCGGCGGAGGAGGAGAUACUUUAUACCGACAGCUGAUUUCACCAGAGGAGGAACCAACUCAUUCCUUUCAAGUCACAAGCAAGUUUCGAGUCAAAUCCCAAGACCUCAACGAGUUGAGUUUCUGCUGUCUACCGUUUUCCUGGGUUCCAGUUUCCUGCCACUGUUUUGGAUAUUUUGGAUAUUGCACCCACGAUGUCUUGACUCUUCUGUUGAUUAUUUGUUCCUAAUAAACUGUUUAACUGC